rnacentral:sRNA from 1 species
AUUAGGGAUAUACUGAGAAUGGGGAAGGAAACUAUCAUCUCAGAAGUCAGCAGGCAGUAAGCAAGAGGAGGAAUCAAUAUAGCAACAGUUUGGAUCAGACCGUACAGUUUUUUGUUUUUGUUUUUGUUUUUCUGAGAUGGAGUCUCGCUGUGUCACCCAGGCUGGAGUGCAAUGACGUGAUCUUGGCUCACUGCAACCUCCGCCUCCCAGGUUCAAGUGAUUCCCCUGCCUCAGCCUCCCGAGUAGCUGGGAUUACAGGUGCCUGCCACCACGCCGGCUAAUUUUUGUAUUUUUAGUAGAGAGGGUUUCACCUAUUAGCCAGGAUGGUCUCAAUCUCCUGACCUCGUGAUCCAUCCGCCUCGCCCUCCCAGAGUGCUGGGAUACAGGCGUCAGCCACCGGACCGGCUCAGACUGUACUCUUAUAGCCAUCUGAAAUACGUUUUCUAGGUAGAGAUAGAUUGUGUAAGGGUACAGUUGUGAGGAUAACAGAAACAUGGCAGAUUAUUUAAAAUCAUCCUGAAAGUGGUGCUUUAUCUGAUGAAAGUGAUUGUAAUCCAUAGGAAAAUGUUUCAACGUGCGCAAGAGUUGCGGCGGCGGGCAGAGGACUACCACAAAUGCAAAAUCCCCCCUUCUGCAAGAAAGCCUCUUUGCAACUGGGUCAGAAUGGCGGCAGCGGAGCAUCGCCAUUCUUCAGCAUUGCCCUACUGGCCCUACCUCACAGCUGAAACUUUAAAAAACAGGAUGGGCCACCAGCCACCUCCUCCAACUCAACAACGUUCUAUAACGGAUAACCUCCACCUCAAGCCUCCAAUCCCCACCCCCUCCACCU